rnacentral:lncRNA from 1 species
CGAGGACCAAGAGAAGAAGAUGGUAAGUUCACGUACUUUCCCUCUAUCCUUUAAAACUUUGGAACUAUGAAACUUGCUCUAUCCUUUAAACUUUGGCAUCUACUCCGACUGCGGAUGAUUGGCUAAUUCAUCCUUACAAAUUACAAUCAACAUUGACCUCGUAAUUAUUUCACUUUUCAAGUAGAUCGAGUUCCACCCUCAUUAAAUAUGAAAUCAUUUAGCCAAACACUUGAACAUAUAAUACAAGAUUUAUAAUUAUAAUAAUAAUAAUAUAUAUUUCUUUUAUCAAAAUUACAUCAUGAAAAUCAUUGAAGAUUUGAAGGUAAAAAGAAAUAUCAUCCAAUUUUUCCCCAUAGAUAAUAGAUUAGUGUUAUAUAUCAUAUAGAUAGUGGUGUAGUAUUUUCAAUAUUAUUUUCAUACACUGGAUAUAUAGUAUGUCAAUAUAGUGAUUAGGGUUUAAGUAGUUUAAUUAUGUAUUUCGAUCACUACAGAUUCUUCACACCUUAUAACAAUAGCCUUAUCACAAACAUAAACAUUUUUUUCAAGCAUUAAUUUACUAUUAAUUCCAGAAAUACUCUCACCGGUCAUCAAAGAUUCACACUUUAUAACAGAGGACCCAUCACAAGCAUAGACGCUAGAUUGAACAGCAGUACUACCAAUUGGCUCAACAGCACCAUCAGCCACAGUAGUAUGUGCUAAAUUAUUUAGCAGCAAUGCGAAUGCAAACACAAACAUUGAGAAAAGUAGAACACGUUGAGAGCUUGAAUCAGCUAUGCUUUAGAAGGUAAUGAAAGAGUUUAGAAAAUUGAG